CACUAUUCUCAGGGCGGGGUGAGAUUCCCCACCGGUGGUAAUUUGUAAAACGUUACAACAGCCCACGAGCGCUUUAUAUUGAAAAAUAUAAAGGUCAGCAGAUCCAGUGAAAACCUGGAGCCGACGGUUAAAGUCCGGAUAAAAGAGAAUGAAU
rnacentral:ncRNA from 17 species